GGCUACGGGAGGCAGCAGUGGGGAAUAUUGGACAAUGGGCGCAAGCCUGAUCCAGCCAUGCCGCGUGAGUGAUGAAGGCCUUAGGGUUGUAAAGCUCUUUCACCGGAGAAGAUAAUGACGGUAUCCGGAGAAGAAGCCCCGGCUAACUUCGUGCCAGCAGCCGCGGUAAUACGAAGGGGGCUAGCGUUGUUCGGAAUUACUGGGCGUAAAGCGCACGUAGGCGGAUAUUUAAGUCAGGGGUGAAAUCCCAGAGCUCAACUCUGGAACUGCCUUUGAUACUGGGUAUCUUGAGUAUGGAAGAGGUAAGUGGAAUUCCGAGUGUAGAGGUGAAAUUCGUAGAUAUUCGGAGGAACACCAGUGGCGAAGGCGGCUUACUGGUCCAUUACUGACGCUGAGGUGCG
rnacentral:rRNA from 1 species